GUUGGGAAAUAAUGCUGUUUUUUUAUUCCUUAGCAUUUAGAGUUUAAAUAUAAUGACUUUAGUAAUAAUCCUACUAAUAACUAUAUGUGUCUUGGUAAGAUAUACUAUUUUUUCCACAGUAUUGACCAUUUAAUCAUUGAAGGUGUUAUGUGAAGAGAAUAUGAUGACUCUGAGAAUGUUGCUGGUACUGAAGUUUUGAUGGGAUCCAAAGAGUGUUAACGGUUCCCUAAUGAUGAAAGUGGACCAAGGCAAGUGAUAAGGAAGGAUAGAUAACACCCUUGACUAACACUGAGAAACCAUGAAAUUAGAACUGUGACACUGGAACUUGUGUUCUCAAGUCUUUUGCUCUCCCAUCAAGCUCUUUCCAAGUGCACAGAGAUGAGCUGCUGUUACAUUUCUCAUUAAAGAUGUUGUUUCCAGACAUCAAGGUAAUUAAUGAUACUGUUGAAAUUCUUCUACUGAAAUUGUUUUUGGUAUGUGUGCAGAUGAAAUAAUGGCCAGCUUAAGUGGGAAUGCUCAGCUUAACUGAGGGUGAUUCUGCAUGUGGGUGACCCACCUAAGGAUUGUUGCCAGAACUGCAUAAAAGGAGGAUAGGAGGGGAGGAAUGCUGGCUGCUGAUUUCCCAGGAGAAGCUUUGUUGGAACUGGAACUCAGUGGCUUUUCUUGCUGUUGCUCCCUCAGUGGGUGGGUGGGGGGGGGUGCUGGUCUUUGCCUUUGUCUUGAGCAUCACUCCCUGGUUCCAGUGCAGAUCCCUCAGUGUUCUGGCACAGAUUGUUCACCCUGCCGGCAUAGACUUUUGAGCUUCUACCACUGGCCCUUGGGCCUUUUGGUGCAGAUUCUUGAUAUGAACUUGCAUGAGACAUUGCUGAGGGCUGUAGGCCUCUGGCUGGACUCAUGUGGAAUAUUAUGUGGAAAGAUCUAUUGCACUUUUCUGGGUUUGACUUUUUGGGAGAAUAUUGUAAGACAGUCCUAUAAAUUUGUAUAUCCUGUGGUAAAUCUGUUUCCUUGGAAACACCGACUAGAACAGUAUGUUUAUAGGUAAAAAAUAAAUUUGUAACAGUAAACAUGGAUUUUUCUUUAUUUGCAGGUAUAGACAUGCAAUAAGAUGUGCACCAAACACUGGGAUUUUUAGAUUUCUGUCAAGACCUUAUAGUAACCCUUUCAACUGUUGGUCAGCACACCAUGUAGGUAGGUGGUUUCAUGUAGGUUCUGAUGUAGGCCCAAACCACAGCACAGCUUGGCAAUCUUACUGGUUUUACCUUCUCAAGUAUUCUUAAAGAUGUAUUUUCUAAAGCCUUUGCAGAUUUCUAUCAUGAGAUCACAGUUAAUCUAACAUCAGCCUUUAAUGGCAGACAUUGCUGUUAUGCAAACAAGUGCUGAUGUAGACCAAAACUAAAGCACAGACCACCUGAUCUUCAGAUCACAUGAGGCAAGUGGUUAUGGUUUCCCUACCACUUGCCAUCAUGAUUUCUUUGCCAGUAUUCAGGUGAGGAAUAAUAACAUCCUUAGGAACACUUGAAACCAUGCAGUUUCUUUUCUGUAUUUCAGAGAGAAUGUGUAACCCUGUAAGGAGGUUGCACAUAUCCAAGUAUUUAUCACAUAGUCCCAACUAUAGUAAUCAUAGGAACUAGGCAGAUAUUCCACGAAGAAAUGUUGUCUUAUCUGACAUUAUCCUUGACCUUGGAGAACCACAAGAAUCCAGGUAGAGUCCUGUGAUCAUGGAUGUAAUAGAAGCUAUUCAACAGUUCCUGGUAGGUUGUGUCUUGAUUCCUGUCAAGGGUUAACAGUGAACUUAAAAAGUUCAUUAUCAGGAGAUAUUUCUGUAUUAGAGUAAAUAUUUUCAUGUACAGCACAUGCCAGACCGACCAUUAGAUCAUCAAAUAUCUGGGUCAGUGAUGUUUGUUUCCCUACAAUUUUUAUCAUAUGAUUAAAAAAAUGUAAGUAUGUAGAUAAGGAAUGCAGUAUUUCAUAUUCUAGAAACCAUAUUAUUGCAUUAUCUUACAUUUAGAGAGAAUUUACCCUGGGAAUUUCAAAUGACUUUCAUGUACUCAGGUUAUUAUUAUGCAUUUAUGCAUCAUGGUAGUUAACAAGUUAAAUAUUAGCAGUCAUGAGAUAAUGAGGUUUGGAACAAUGAUGUUCAUCAUAAAAUAAUCAAGAAUACAAGUAGAGUUGAUGAGUCCAGGUAGAAAUGAAAUCUUGCAAUAAUGACAAUAAAGAAAGUUAUUUGAAGGGUCCCAGUAGAAAAGUCUUACCAUACAUAUACUUGUCACCCAUGUUUUUACAUUUCCAUGCAGAUACGGUGGUAAGUCUCAUGAUGACCAACAGUGGCAGUUUGUUGUAUCCAUGGCCAUGAUGAUCAAGAGGGAUAUUGUAGCCAGCCAAGAGAAAAUGGUGUGAAGAACAACAUCUCUGACCUUGAAGUUCUAAAGAUCUAAGUACUUCAGUUGGUUUCCCUGAUGAUGGAGUUCCUCUGAAGACACUGUGAUUAUCCUACCCAUGGGAGUGAGUAAAGUCCAUAGAGGGUUAUGAGAUGCCCUUCAAGAGAACACAGUGAUCCAGAAAAGAUGGUUGUUGCAGUCACCCUAGUAACAAGGGACAGUCAUGUCACAGUGAGCAGCACAGUAUAAUCAGGUGGAUGCAUACAGACAUCCAGGUUCCUUCAAGGGAAGAUGAGCAGACUAUGGCUGGAACUGCAUGCAGGUGUCAGUGAGGGAGUCCACAGCUCAUGGUGAGCCCUGAACAUCACCAGGAUCUGUAUAAGGACAGCCAUGGACCUUCACUGCAGCAUAGGCAGGGAAUAUCCAUGGCCUUCACUAAGUGAUAUUGGGGUCCCUGAUGUGGAGUCGUGGGGUAGUGGGGUUGCUGUGACUUUGCUUUAGGUUCUGGAGCCCAGGAGAGCAAUGAAGGAAGAACUGAGCCAAUCCACUGACCCUGAAUUUUUCCUUCGUGUAUAGUGAAGUAAAAUGAAUGUUGAUCUUCUCUACAUCCUUGGAGUGCUUAUUCUUUGGUCCAGUGGUGUUGUGAUGGACCACCCUGCCCAGGAGAAAGCACAGAAUUCUUUGCAGGUCAGUAGUUGAUGAUAAUGAGUCUCAGGAUGAGAGUUUUGCACUCAAAUUGCUUCUGGUAUCAGAGUGAAGAGAAAGCCUUUGUGCCAGUGGUGAUGCCAGAGCACAGCCCAGUGUUCUUGCAGAGCAAAGGAUAAGGUUUUAGCAGGGUGUGGUUUGCCUUCCUUUCAGAUAUCUGCAGUGAUGAAAAAAUGUUUGUUGUGGUGAGAUUGCUGAUGAUAGAUGAGACCUCUGUGCAUGUAGCCUGGCUACAGGGCAUGAUAUUCCUU
rnacentral:lncRNA from 1 species